UACGAAGGGGGCUAGCGUUGCUCGGAAUUACUGGGCGUAAAGGGCGCGUAGGCGGGUAUUUAAGUCAGGGGUCAAAUCCCGGGGCUCAACCUCGGAACUGCCUUUGAUACUGGGUACCUAGAGUUCGGGAGAGGUGUGUGGAACUCCGAGUGUAGAGGUGAAAUUCGUAGAUAUUCGGAAGAACACCAGUGGCGAAGGCGACACACUGGCCCGAUACUGACGCUGAGGCGCGAAAGCGUGGGGAGCAAACAGG
rnacentral:rRNA from 1 species